GCAGAAUAAGCCACGGCUAACUCCGUCCAGCAGCCGCGGUAAUACGGAGGUGGCUAGCGUUACUCGGAAUUAUUGGGUGUAAAGGGCAAGUAGGCGGCUUGGUAAGUAGGGGGUGAAAUACUCCGGCUCAAUCGGAGAACUGCCUUCUAAACUGCCAGGCUUGGGUAUGACAGAGGAAAAGGGAAUUCUCGGUGUAAGGGUGAAAUCUGUAGAUAUCGAGAAGAACACCAGCGGCGAAGGCGCUUUUCUGGGUCAUUACCGACGCUAAAUUGCGAAAGCUAGGGGAGCAAACAGAAUUAGAUACUCUGGUAGUCCUAGCCGUAAACGAUGAGCACUAGAUGUCAGCCCCUUUAGGGGUUGGUGUCGCAGCUAACGCAUUAAGUGCUCCACCUGGGGACUACGGUCGCAAGG
rnacentral:rRNA from 1 species